GACAUUGCAAAGAAUGUCUAAUAUUGCUUACUCGAGUUGCUUAAAUUAUUCAUAUUACAGAGACUUUGGGGAUGAAUAUAUUUUCUGCUUACAUCCAGCUUUUUAAAAAAUUGAUUCUUUUUCAGUAAUUAUUUGCAUGGCUGUACACUGGGAUAUUUCAUCGUGUAAACUUUUCAUCUUCAUAAUGCUCAGGAUUUUUAAUUGGUGGAUGGCCAGAAAAGAAGGAAUGUCAAAUAUUUAAUACAUGCAAGACUACCUUUGUGAGAAAAUAGCCUCUUUCCUGGUCUGUGGUUUAAGAAGUUACCUAGUCUUCUCCUGCUCAUGCUCCACUGACGACAGUUACCAGAAAAUGCUGUAAUGUUGAUAUUACUUAGGAAGGCUUUGACUGUCCAGCAUCCAUAAUGACAGCAUUAACUAAAGAAAUUCCGAGCCAGUAAAAGAGGGUAAGACACCAAUGUGAGAAAAACCUACAGCCAACCCAUCUCCAAACCCAAAGAGUUUGAUUUUGUUUGAUGUAGAAGACAAAAGUCAUGAAAGCUCCAUGGUCACAGGACACCAGCUUUGGCCGUACUACAUUGUCAUUCAUUCCUCCCCACCACACGCGUGCCUGACCAUAUAGGAAAAUGAGUUUACAACCGACUACGCCUAUGGGACUCCCGGAGGGAUACAAUGUGAGAGCCUUUACUAGUGGAGGAUAGUUCUCAAAAGGUCUGAAAGUUUGCAAAACCCAUUUAAGAGUGAUGCCUUCUUUAAGAGUAUCCCAUCCACCCAUGCAGCCACACUGAUGUGACAUAUUGUGACACAAAAUGCCACAGAAAAUUAAGCUGAGCCCUCCAACUGAAGACUUGAUUUAGCCAUACAUUCUCCACAAGUCACCAUUUAAAUUAACUGUUGUAGAUUCAAGCUAGGAAAAUGAUAAUUCAUCUAGUGUAAGUAGUUGUGUAGAAACAGUUUGCUGCUACUGGAAAAAAUCUGCAUAGUAUGUUCUUAAAAUAUGGUAUGUUUCAUUUCCUAUGGAUAAAGACAAAUAAAUAUAGUUGCAAGAAAUGCAGCGCAUUUUUAAGAGGUUGGUACAAUGAUUUUUCUCUGCUGCAUGUUAUGCAUUUAUGUAUACUCAACAUACAGUCUCUGCAAAUGCAUAUUUACAUUUAUAAAUAUGCAUGCAUAUAUACAUCCAAAUAUAUUUAAUUAAAAGUUUUUUUCUAAUUUUCAGUAUAGAAAUACCCAUACACAUAUGGCUUGGGAAUAAAUAAAAAUAAAUUUAUUUCUGUGCAGGUAAAAAAAUUAAAAAAAAUCAGCUAAAGGAAGUAUGGGAACCAAGCAACUAGGGCAGUAAAAUGGGGGACACAUGUCCCAGCUUCUCCUCUAAUAAAAAUGUUCUGUUUAAAAUAAUAGUUACAAUGGAAAUACUGAAAAAGAACUUUUUCUUACAAAGACCUGUGGUUCAGGCAGUCUUUUCAGAUGUAGUUGACUUAGAUUUCACUUCUGUAAAAAAAAAACAAAUGGGACAAAAAGGAUUUAUACCAAAGUUUUCCUGCCUCCCAAAUAAAUUCUCUGGUGAUGAACAUAUUCAAUCUAAACAUUAGCCCUCACAAAGCUGAAUAUUGCCCCAGCCCUGGAGUAUUUAGCUCCUUAGAGAAUUUGGCCAUUAACCUUGGUAUUUACAUUAGUGUUGAGCCCUUUUGAAGAAUAGGUCUUUGGAGG